rnacentral:lncRNA from 1 species
GAUCUCAUGUCAUCUGUGAUAAUUAAAUAGUUCUUCCACAUGUUACCAUUUUUAUCUGUAGGGAGCGAAGUCGAUGUCGACAAUGUGGAUAAGGUUCUUGGAGACAUGGGAAUAGAGCUUUCUGACUCAGAGAUCUCUAAACUAGUGAGCAGCGUGCCCGUUGAUGAUGGAAAGGUCUAUCUGGGAAGGUUGCUGGACAGCAUAAGACUUCUUAAAGG